UCCGUAGGCGGGCUAAUAAGUCAGUGGUGAAAUCUCUCGGCUCAACCGGGAAACUGCCAUUGAUACUGUUAGUCUUGAGUUCGGUUGAGGUAGGCGGAAUGUGUAAUGUAGCGGUGAAAUGCUUAGAUAUUACACAGAACACCAAUUGCGUAGGCAGCUUACUAGACCGACACUGACGCUGAGGCACGAAAGCGUGGGUAGCGAACAGGAUUAGAUACCCUGGUAGUCC
rnacentral:rRNA from 1 species